AUUUAUUUUAUUUUUUAAUAAUUUGAUUUUAUAAAAGUUGAUUCAUGGAAGAAAAAAUUCGAGAGGAUUUAAAAGAGCAUUUGGAUAGUUCCAUCGAAGAAACAUCUUCAAUUGGUUUUUCAAUGAAAGGAUGUGGUCCAUCGAUGAAUCUUUUAAAAAUAUUUGACAUCAAUAAUCCAAAUUAUUUAGAUUUUUUGAAAAGCUUCAAGACAAACAAAUGGGUGGAUGAGUGUUUAGACGCGUUUCUGUCUGUGAUGGUUGAAACUGAUAAAUCAGUUCGAAAAAAUAAUUUUUCCAAUAAUUGUCAAAUUGCUGCUGUUUUUGAAAUAUUUUAUAGUUGCUUUCAAUAUUUGGCAAUAUUUCCAAAAACUAAUAAGGACAAGUUUUUGGAGUAUUUUCGUCAAACGUUAUUGCUCUAUACUGUGAAUGAUCCACCUGAAUGUUUGCGGAUUUUCAAUGCUGUAGAAGGUUUUGUUGUAGCUAAAAUUUUUCAUGAAAAUGUUGUGAUGCAUUUUGAAGUAAUACAAAAUAAAUUGAGUUCGAUGGAAUAAACUUUGGCAAUGGAAAAUUGUUUAAAAACUCGAAGUAAAUAUA